GGAGCACCACUUUUUGGAAAAAGAGAAAAAAGAAGCGAUGAGUUCCUUUGAGCCCAGCAGUCACAGAGACCCUCCUGUAGGACAGACUGGUCUCCUCAGCACUAGGGCUCGAGUCCAAGCUGGCAAGAUGCUUUCUGCAUCAAGAUUAAAUGUGUCUGGGAAACCAGAGAGACGAAAGAAACAGCUACAUGCUGCUGACAGCAGGGAGUACAGGCAAAAAUGUUUUCUGUACCCCAGGAAUGCAAAGUCACCACCCUGACACAUUGAAUUAUCAGCUUUAUACUAAGAAGCAAGAUGCUAGAGGAGUUCAUGUUUCCUCCCUAGAUGCUGGAAACCAUCACCAAAGAGGAUCAGAAGCAGCAUGGGACCAGUGGAAAAACUAUCCUGACUGAAACACUGAUUAAGUUGCUGGACCUAGAGGACCAAGUAGCAGCCUGUGGUCCUGAGCUAGGAAAGCCGAAUGAUGGCUCGGCUCUGUGUCUCAAGACCACCUGUUGGCCCAAAACCUCUGUCUGGCCAGACAAGAAAUGCUUUGGAAAAAGAAUGUGCUUUUCUGUUUUUGAGAUUCACAGCCACGGAACCGGUAAAAUGAACACAGCUGGUAUCCUAAUUCCAUGGUCUUAGAGCAAGAAAAAUUAACCAUCCACCAUAGCUCUAGCAGUGCUUCCUAAACUGUUGUGAGGAGUACUAGGUGCAAGGAAUGCUAAUAGGUAUUUUGUGGAAAGGGCCUUCUGAAAAAUGCCGGGUCAAACAAAGUGAACUCGAUUUCUUUAUAGCUGGACUUAAGUAGUGUACACUGUUAAUAUAUUUAAAAAGUAAUAGUAGGUGUAAAAUGCAACAAUUCCAAAUUUUAUGGGAUCAGAAAAUAUACCAACAUCUUUGGUUCUAAUAUUUCAAGGAAUAGGGUUCUGGAAAUGCUGGCUUAUGAUAUUAGUGCUGAAUCCUGCAGUGGCCAACAUGGUCUCUCAGGGCCUGGAAACUGACCUCUCCUCUGCUUGAUCCUCAGCCACACCCCUUCUGCCUGUGCUCCAGCCACAGGAGCACUCACAGUACCCAACGAUGCCACAUGCCUUCAAGGCUGCUUGCCUCUGCUCAUGCCACUUCCUGCCCCCUGCUCCUGGGGAGCUCCUAUUCCUCCUGUAAGGCCUCAUUCCAGACACAUCCAUCCCUGGGAAGCUUCGCCUCAGCAACCAGUCUGCAGUGAUUAGCCCUGCAUUUAAAUGUCUACCAGCCUGUGCAUUCUACUACAGCGCCCACCCCUUCCUGCAGCUCUCUGCUUCCUUUCCUCCUCUGCCUUUCACUGUCUUUGACAGUGGCCAGGUCUUAUUUGUCAGUGUGUGCAAGUCAGUGCCUUGGCCCGGUCUGCAGUGAGGACCACUACUGCAAGAUUUCAAAUGCCUGUUCCAUGUUCUGCUAAUAAGGCUUGGUUAUAACAUAUUUACAAUUCACUAUAACUCAAAGUUCCGUUGUUAAUGCAAUCACUGAUAAAUAAACCUUAUAUGAAUGUGGCUACUUUUA